GUGCGGCCUGGGGGCUGGCCUGGGGUGAGAAGAGCAGAUUGACUCUGCAGAAGGAGUGGGGGGUGGAAAGGAUAGGGAAGUUCUUUAGGAACCCAUGCAUUUCAGCUAGUUUUCUCCCGAGAGGAUCAACAUUUUCCAAAAAUGUAAACAAUUGCAUUAAAAAAUGUACAACAAGCUUACUUAGCAUUGUUGAGCCUACUUAAAGGCAUUGCGAGGCCCACAGUCACUGAACAUGUCUCUAUUCUGUACCAGACACCGCGGGGAGAUAGGACACCGCCCUCACGGUGACUGCAGGGCUGUCGUGAGGAUUACAUUUGACAAUGGCUACAAAACAUGGGCACAGAGAGGGCCUGGCCACACGGCGGCCAUGACUGUUAUGAGGGAAGUAAAACACAUCACAGAUGCUCUGUGAGAUGAAGCCGUAUUUCAAAGCAGCUUAGCGCGUGAACAAGGACCCGGGUUCAAGUCCAGAUUCUGUCCCCUAGAAGCAAAUUGCUCUCUGGACUUUGGUAUCCUCAGUUUUGUAAAAAGAGUGUAGUAAUAACAAUUCAGAGAGACAGAAAGUAGAACAGUGCUUGCCAGGGCCUCAAGGAGGAGGGAAUGGGGAACCGUUCAACAGGUAUAGAGGUUCAGUUUUGCAAGAUGAAAAACGGUCUGGAGAUUGGCUGCACAACGAUGUGGAUGUACUUAACACUACUGAACUGUACGUACUUAAAAAUGGUUCAGACGGGGGCUCACUUUGGCAGCACAUAUACGAAAAUUGGAACAAUACGGAGAUUAGCAUGGCCCUGUGCAAGGGUGACACACAACUCCGUGAAGCAGUCCAUUAGAAAAAAAAGAAAAACAACCCACCUCACACUUGUCAGAAUGGCUAAAAUCGGCAACACAGGAAACAACAGAUGUUGGCAAGGAUGUGGAGAAAGGGGAAGCCUUUUACACUGUGGGUGGGAAGGCACACUGGUGCAGCCAUUCUGGAAAACAGUAUGGAGGCUCCGCAAGGCGUUAAAAAUGGAACGACCCUACGACCAGCGACCAGUGACUGCAUUGCUAGGUAGUUACCCAAAGGAUACAAAAAUACUGAUUCGAAGGGGCACAUGCACCCCAAUAUUUACAGCAGCAUUAUCCACAAUGGCCAAAUUAUGGAAAGAGCCCAGAUGUCCAUCGACUGAAGAAUGGACAAAGAUGUGGUAUAUAUAUAUAUAUGGAAUAUUACUCAGCCGUCAAAAAGAAUGAAAUCUUGCCAUUUGCAAUGACGUGGAUAGAACUAUAGUGUAUUAUGCUAAGCGAAGUAAGUCAGGGAAAGACAAACACCAUAUGAUUUCACCCAUAUGUGGAAUUUAAGAAACAAAAUAGAUGACCAUAGGGGAAAGGAGGAAAAAAGAGAGAGGGAAACAAACCACAAGAGACUCUUAACUAUAGAGAACAAACAGAGGGUUGACGGAGGGAGGUGGGCGAGGGAUGGGCUAAAUGGGUGAUGGGCAUUAACUUGUGAUGAGCACUGGGUGUUAUGUGUAAGUGAUAAAUCACUAAAUUCGACACCUGAAACCAGUUUUACCAUGUAUGUUAACUAGAAUUUAAAUAAAAACUUGAAAAAAUGCAAAAAAAUCCCCCAAAAGGUUAAAAUUGUAAAUUUGAUGUUAUAUAUAUGUUAUCCCAAUUUUAAAAAAGAGAGUAUAAUAACAGUAAGCAGUUCAUGGGUCCGAGGGUGAGUUGAGACAAUGUAAAUUACGCCCCUAUUACACUAGCUAAUGUUUCCUAACCAAGUACUUUGUGUCAGGUAUGAUCCUAAUGAGUCCUCAAAACCCUCUGAACCAGGUGCCGUGAUCAUCACCAUUUUACAGAUGAAAAAUGGAGGCAUACAUAAUGUGUCCAAGAUACCCAGUUAGCAAAUGCUCAGUAAUUAUUAGAUAUUAUUGAUACUGUGAUACAAAGAAAUCAUCACCAUCAUCUUCAUGGUAGAAUGCAGUGUAAUUAUGACAGUCUCACAGCACUGUGCAAGUUCUGAGGAAUAUCCCUUGUGGCCAGGGGUUAGAGAAGACUUCACAGAAGAUGUGCAUCUGGGGAGGGGUGAAGUGGGUGAAUAGGAUUAAGAGGUACAAACUUCCAGUUAUAAAAUGUCACAGUGAUGAGAAGUACAGCGUCGGGAUUAUAGUCAAUAACAUAAUGCUGUAUGGUGACAGACGGUGGGUACAUACUUCUCUCACUGUGAUGAGCACUGAGUAAUGUAUGGAAUUGUCAAAUCACUAUGCUAUACACCUGAAACUAACAUAACGCUGCGUGUCAACUGUACUUAAAAAAAAAAAAAAAAAGAUGGGGGCACCUGGUGGCUCAGUCGGUCAAGCAUCCGGCUCUCAAUCUCAGCUCAGGUCUUGAUCUCAGGGUUGUGAGUUCAAGCCUCGUGUCAGGCUCCACACCCAGUGUGGAGAGACGGGUGCCUUGGGUGGCUCAGUCGGCUAAGUGUCCGACUCAGUUUCAACUCAGGUCAUGAUCUCACAGCUUCAUGGGUUCGAGCCCCUCAUCGGGGUCUGCUCUGGCAGUGUGGAUGGAGCCUGCUUAGGAUUCUCUCUCUCGGUCUCUCUGCCCCUCCCCCACUUACGCUGUCUCUGUCUCUGUCAAAAUACAUAAACUUAAAAAAAAAAAACACGCAUCUCAAGUGAGCCGCUGAAGAUUGGUAAGAUUAGGGUGAAGGUGGUGGGGGGGGAGCAGUAAUCAGAACAGGCAUAGUUUGGAAGGUCCAUCAGGUUUUCAAGGGCAAAUACGUCCCUUAGGCUGGAGCAAAGGGGCAGCGGAGGUGGAAGAUAAGCCACCCAAGACAGGAGAGGAGCUCUGAAAGUGAAACCAAGGAGUUUGAGUUUGACGGCUGGUGGAAGUCCAGUGGAGGUGACUGGGAAAACAAUGCUCAGAGCCAUGCGAGGCACAUGCAGGGCUCAUCUAUACAAGGAGGCGCUUGAUGGAUGGAAGGAGGAAGGCAAUGACCAAUCCCCGGAUGAUGCCAGGGCGUAUAAGGAGCUUGGGCUGAAGUGACUCCCAACAGCGGCUCUACCAGUGAACCCAGGCGGAUGGAAACCAGUGGCCUCUGCACAAUGACCCUGUGAAGUAGGCACUCAUGCCACUCCUACUUUCACAGCUGACCCUGGAUGACCACGACAUGUCCCUCUGCCAACACUCGCCUGUGAAUGUGAUGUCAGCUGGGAGUCUGUGCGGUGGGAGGUGGUUGCCCGGCUCACGAGGGAGCCCAGCAGCGGGCCAGGAGGACCUGGCUUAGCCCAGCCUCGUUACUAGAGAGCGGUGACACCUGAAGGAGGGUAACACUGGGGUUUCUCUGUGCAGGGAGAGCUCUGCUGAUGGGCCGUUUACUUCUUUCUGGUAGGGAAGUGAUCACUCCACAGGAAGCACAUCACUCCGCGUGGAAAUGUGCUUGGAAGGAAGCAGGAGGCUUACAAAAACACCUCUGAAUUCCUGAACGUGAAUUCUUUGAGAGACUUCUCCCGAAUGGCAAGGCCGGCUGUAUUUCUGCUGCAGCCAAAGAUUCCCGCGGGCAAGGCGUUCUUGCUAAAUCUUGGCAUGUCCAGCAGACGGAGGGAUGAGUGGAGUUCUAACAUGACUAGGUACAAGUUAGAAUCCAGGAAUAUUGGUGUCCCAAGAACAGAACACGUACAACCCAGAAACGGAAGGCAGUUUUUGGGCAUUAAGUCUUUCAGAGAAGGGGGUUCUCUAAAUUCCCUGUGCCAGGAUAGGGGUCUUCACCCUUAGGGCUUGGGGCCGAAUCCCUUAAGCUUUACUGGCCAAGUUGGCCGUAUCGAAGGCAGAAAAGUCUGGAUCUGGGUUUAACACCAUGUCUGCCACUUAGGACCACGUUGGCCAUCUUGGACAGAGCUGCGGAGCUUGACCCCUGUCGGGCCUCCGUUUCCCCAUGUAUAAAGAGGGAGCUAAGUUUUCAAUUGCUCAGUUUCUUUCCAACCAUCCCAUCUGUGACUCUACACGAGUCUACGCCUGGUGAGUCUGCUUCCUCCUCUUCUGGCUUCAGGGCAGGCCAGAGCCUCAUAAACACGAAUCUAGGUGAGUCUCCGUGCAGCAGAACAUUUUCUAGAAGCCACGGCGCAUCAUGUUGAUGUACUGAGAGGUGCCCUUCUCUCUGCAGCCUGGGGUGUUAGCCCUUUCUCCCCCGGGCUCUCCCCGAGGCUCCCUCUGGCUCCCCCCCACAACCCCCCUCCCUGUGCCCCCCACAGCCUCCUCUCCCGCACCUGGUUGUAGGUACAGUUCUUCUUCUUGCACUUGCUGCACUGGAAGAGGUCAGUGGUGGUGCCGCCAGUCUUGGCCAUCUGGUGCUCACGGAUAGCCUCCUGGGUCAUGGCAUUCCUCAAUUCCCUCAGCUCAUCACUGGCCAUUUCCUGGAAAGAAAUGAGUCUGCCCUUCAGGGAUAAAGAGUCCCAGGAGCCCUUCCCCCCAUCCAGUUUCUAGGGAGCCUGAACAGAGGAGAGGGGAACAUGCUGGCUUGAGGACAAGGAGCUGGAGGGAGGCCUGGAGUACUGGCCUUGGCCCAGCUGAGGAAAGGCCAUUCCCAAAGAGCCCCCAUUCUGCUUCGGGUGGACGGGCAAACCUGAGCGGGCUUUGAGCGGGCCACGAGCGGUAGGGCGUGUGCCGGAGAGCAGAAGGCAAAUAGCUUCCAGCCCGGGGUCAACAUCUUGUAUACAUUUCCUCAGAUCUGACGCUCACCCUGCCGGCCAGGACCUCGGGUACCUGCCUAAACCUUCCUGCUUGAACUGGCUGGACCGUGACCACCUGAUCUGUCAUGUUCCCCUUAUCCUUCCAGUUUGGACUUGACCCAGGGCCCUUGAUCCAAACUGUGAUCACUGCCUAGUCCAUUCUGCCUGCUGGGGACCUUGACCUCAACUAUCCACGACUUGCUGCUGCUACCCUGACCCAAGUGGGACCUGAAGCUCCUGGGUGCACGAGCUUAACUGCUCACCUGCAUCACAGAACAUCUUUGUCUUUAAGCUCCCAUAGAACAGAGUCUCCUAUCUCCCAUCAGCUUACUGCAGACACUCAGUGUUUGCAUUAUCCUGCCUUGAUCCACUUGCCUGGCCAUUCUGACUCCUCCACUCAAAGUGGAGAGAGCUCUAGGAGGAGGCAACGUCAAGGCCACAGGAAGUACAGCGCUACGGAAAAUAAGGGCUGUGCCGAGCAUUCAGCAAGCCGUACCGCGUGAUGCACCAGCCUGGUGUCUCGGACAUCAAGUGCUCAACACGUAGGGGCUGUGAAGAUGAGGACACUGAUAAAGAUAUCCCCCCGUUUCGAAGGGCCUCUGGAUGUUAUGAGUCCGGCUACCGGAGGAAAACGAAUACCGACCACCAUGCCAUGGGACCCACUUUGGGAAUUGCUGGUCAGAGUUACUUCUCUCAUGAACAGAUAAGGAAGCUAAAGGCUUAGAAAGGAUGUGGGCCCUUGCUCAAGGUCACGUGGCAAAUUCCCGGCAGAGACAGGGCUGGAAGCCAGACCCCCUCCUGACGGUAAUGCUCUCUCCCCUCACUCAGCAGGAAGUCGCCCCUGACCACCGACCACGGUGAGUUCUCUGUCCAGACGCUGCCUCCCAGACAGGCCGCCCGCCCCCUCCUCCCUUCUCCAUCCUCUGGAGGAGCGCAGGGAACACAGCCGCGUGUUCUCCGUCUCCCACGCCAAGCAGAGUCAGGAAGGCAAGCCCUCUGCUGGGAAGAGCCACAUACGAGAAAGAGACUGUGGGACUACGGACACAUGCAAACAGCUGACUUGCUACAAGCAGUGGGAGGAAAGGUGCUGUUAUCUAUUUUUUCCUGUUCCUGCUGUGUUCAUGCUGCUUGUACAGUAACAGCCUGAAAAGAAAGAACGUGCCAUAAUGCAUUUGAAAGUCGAAAGAUUUGUUUAAAAAUGUGCGUUUGGGAUUCCUGGAGGCGUGCAUCUGCUUGAUAUGGGGGGACAGGAGGGCCGGCAGCACUGUCAUCAGCCUCUCCCUGACUCUGUCUCCGUUUCCUGAGAUCACAGGGCAGCAGGAUGAGGUGGAGCACGGGCCUGGGGGUCACUGACCCCUUCAGAGGAGCACGGCCCUACACUGCCGUGUCAGUGCAAGGUCACUCCAAAGAGAACAGACCUUUUUAGGACACAGAGCAUUCGAGCCCCCGAACUUAUCCUCCUCCUUACCUCCCAUCUUCUUUUUUUUUUUUUAAUUUUUUAACGUUUAUUUAUUAUUGAGAAAGAGAGAGACAGAGCAUGAGUGGGGGAGGGGCAGAGAGAGGGGGAGACACAGAAUCCGAAGCGGGCUCCAGGCUUUGAGCCAUCAGCACAGAGUGCAACGUGGGGCUCGAACUCACGGACCGCGAGAUCAUGACCUGAGGCGAUGUCGGUCGCUUAACCAACUGAGCCACCCAGGCGCCCCCUUACCUCCCAUCUUCUAAGAACAAAGGGCUCGAUGCAGCUCUGAUUUCCUAUCCUUCAGGAGAGGGACAUUCAGUGAAGGAAGAGGAGGAGGAAAAGCCAGGUGUGGAACUAUGAACCGGAUCACCCACCUUGGUUUCAAUUUUUUUAACGUUUAUUAUUUUUGAGAGAGAGAGAAAGACAGACAGACAGCAAGCAGUAGAGGGGCAGAGAGAGGGCGUCUACAGAAUUGAAAGCAGGCUUCAAGCUCUGAGCUGUCAGCACAGAGCCCGAAGCGGGGCUCGAACUCACAGACCGCGAAAUCACGACCUGAGCUGAAGACGGCCGCUUAACCGGCUGAGUCACCCAGGUGCCCCAACCCACCUUUGUUUCAAACUGAGCCUGAAGGUAGAAGGGACCUGUCUGAAGGGACAGCCGUUUGGAGGAAACAAAGACAAAGCUCAGAGUUCUGAUACCUGAUGCUCUAUGCUCCUGGAUCAACUGGGAUUUAUGACAAUGUAUCUGGUGAGGUGCCGGACAGCUUGGGACAUGCCCAUUCAUAAUUAAAUCAUGGUGGAGGGGAACUCCCAGAAAAUAUGUCAGAGGAUAUAAAGGUAGGACUCAGGCAGGAAGUGGCAACAGGCAAGCUUGUUGACCAUGGUCAGCCCAGACUGACCAGGGACCCUCCCCAACAGACUGAGCUCCCUAGGUAGCCCAGUCACAGUGAGAACUCCUCUCCCCUGGGGAUUCUGUCCCCUUCCCUUUUUGAUAGGCAAAGCUUUGUCUCUCCAGUAAAAGAUAGCCCAUGCAUUCAUUGGGGCACAUUGUAGGAUUUUCUUUCCCAAGACAACAAUCUUUCGGUGCAAUGAGCCCACAUCCCUCCAAUGGUCACCUCCUCUGUCUAUACCGCCCCCCCCCUCAAAAAGGGGGAGAACGGGCCGUGUGUAAAGAACUCAGGACAUGGAAUCCAAAGGCCAAGGUUUUUAGUCAAGCUGUGACACCCAGUAGUUCUCGAGCCUCGGUUUCCUCAUCCGUAAAAUGGGAACAACAGCCCCUGCCUCACAGAGAUUGUGACAAUUGGCAGAAGUAGGAAGUAUCAACUGCCCAUCACAGUGCCUGGUAUAUAGUAGGGAAUCAAAAAUGGGAGCUGUUAUCUUCAGAGGACGGAAGAGGGGAGAAGGCUGAGCAUGAGAAACGCUGUCCUCCCCACCUGCUCUGACACUUGACAUUGCAACCCAGCCAUAUGAUGACACAACCUGUUUAGCACAGCAGUUGAACCCUCCGCUUCUAGAGUCACACUCUCUGGGUUCAAAUCCCAAGUCUACCACUACUAUUAGCUGUAGGAGCUUUGGCAAGUGACUUAACCUCUCUGAGCCUGUUACCUCACACUUGUAAAAUGGGAUUAAUCGGUGAACCUACCUUGCGGGAUUGUUCUCAACCUUGAACGAGGUACUGCUCAUACACAGCUUAGCAAGAGGCUGGCAGGUGCAAGACUUAAUAAAUGGUAGCUAGAAUGAAGAACUCCAGUUCAGAGGCAGAGCAGGGGGCUGGCCCCGAGCCCUUCCCCUCCCCCUCACUGUCCUGGGUCCCUUGCACUUGGGAGACCUGCUCCUGGCGUCCGGGCACCCACAGCCCUGGCACAGCUCAAGGAUAUGAUCUUCGAUUUCUGAUGCCAUCUUGUCACAAUUGACUCCAUAAUCCUUGUAAUCAUCUAAAAGAGAUUCAGGAAGCACAGGCAUUAGCCAGACAUGACCUUGGCAGUGGAGCCUGCCCAUACAGGGGACUGUAGCAUCCUGUUCCACUCCCAUGGCACUGAGAAAGACUGCAUCUCAUUUGCCCUUGGGAGGCCCUUCCCUCCCCUGCCCCUGGCCCAGGCCCUCUCACCUU